UACACGCAUGACACACUGCAUAUCAAUAAGCGGAGGAAAAGGAAACUAACAAGGAUUCCCUUAGUAACGGCGAGUGAAGCGGGAAGAGCUCAAAUUUGAAAUCUUCAAGGUUCUACCUUGACGAAUUGUAGUUUAUAGAAGUGUUUUCUGUUAGUAGGAGUGGCAAAAGUUCUUUGGAAUAGGACAUCAUAGAGGGUGAGAAUCCCGUAUUUGACCGUUACUUUCCUAGCGUUGUGAUACACUUUCAACGAGUCGGAUUGUUUGGGAAUGCAGUCCCAAAAUGGGUGGUAAAUUUCAUCUAAAGCUAAAUAUUGGCGAGAGACCGAUAGCGAACAAGUACCGUGAGGGAAAGAUGAAAAGAACUUUGAAAAGAGAGUUAAACAGUACGUGAAAUUGUCAAAAGGGAAGCGUUUGACACCAGUGUUGUUUUUUCCGAAAAUCAAUUACGAAUGUUUUAGUUUUUAAGAAGUUAUGACUUCAUCGGCUUGCUUCUCUCUUUACUGAAACUUUCUUAAUGCACUUUUCGGUUAACAAGUCAACAUCAAUUUCUUUUGUUGUAAAAGGGUAUGAGGAAGGUGGCUUUCUUUUCGGAGAAAGUGUUUAUAGCCUUGUACCUUUGCAAUCGGAGAGAUUGAGGUCUGCAGCGUAGAUCCUUCGGGGUUAGAUACAUUUGUGCUAAGUUAUAGCUUUUCAUAGACAACUUGUUGACUAUGUUAAGUCUUGUAGCUUACUCGCUUAUGCUAUUUUACCUACGCUUAGGAUGUUGACGAGACUGUCGAUCUC
rnacentral:rRNA from 1 species